AACGAACGCUGGCGGCGUGCCUAACACGUGCAAGUCGAGCGCGAAAGUUCCUUCGGGAGCGAGUAGAGCGGCGGACGGGUGAGUAAUACAUAGGUAAUCUACCUUCGAGCUUGGGAUAACCCCGCGAAAGUGGGGCUAAUACCGGAUAAGACCACGUGAUUAUUUUACGGGGUAAAAGGUGGCUUAUUUUUUAAAUGAGCUAUCACUUGAGGAUGAGCCUGUGGCCUAUCAGCUAGUUGGCGGGGUAAGAGCCCACCAAGGCUAUGACGGGUAGCUGGUCUGAGAGGACGACCAGCCACACUGGGACUGAGACACGGCCCAGACUCCUACGGGAGGCAGCAGUGGGGAAUAUUGGGCAAUGGGCGAAAGCCUGACCCAGCGACGCCGCGUGGGCGAUGAAGGCCUUCGGGUUGUAAAGCCCUGUCAUGCGGAAAGAACGACCCUGAGACGCAUACUCUCAGGGAGUGACGGUACCGCAGGAGGAAGCACCGGCUAACUCCGUGCCAGCCGCCGCAGUAA
rnacentral:rRNA from 1 species